rnacentral:rRNA from 1 species
UACGGGGGGAGCAAACGUUGUUCGGAAUCACUGGGCGUAAAGGGCGCGUAGGCGGCCAGAUAAGUGGGGUGUUAAAUCUCCCGGCUCAACCGGGAACCUGCACCUCAUACUGCCUGGCUUGAGUACAGCAGAGGAGACUGGAAUUCCCGGUGUAGCGGUGAAAUGCGUAGAUAUUGGGAGGAACACCAGUGGCGAAGGCGGCUCGCUGGACCGGUUCUGACGCUGAGGCGCGAAAGCGUGGGGAGCAAACAGG